rnacentral:rRNA from 1 species
UAACAUUUCUAGCUUGCUAGAGGAUGACGAGUGGCGGACGGGUGAGUAAUGCUUGGGAACUUGCCUUUGCGAGGGGGAUAACAGUUGGAAACGACUGCUAAUACCGCAUAAUGUCUUCGGACCAAACGGGGCUUCGGCUCCGGCGCAAAGAGAGGCCCAAGUGAGAUUAGCUAGUUGGUAAGGUAAAGGCUUACCAAGGCGACGAUCUCUAGCUGUUCUGAGAGGAAGAUCAGCCACACUGGGACUGAGACACGGCCCAGACUCCUACGGGAGGCAGCAGUGGGGAAUAUUGCACAAUGGGGGAAACCCUGAUGCAGCCAUGCCGCGUGUGUGAAGAAGGCCUUCGGGUUGUAAAGCACUUUCAGUUGUGAGGAAAAGUUAGUAGUUAAUACCUGCUAGCCGUGACGUUAACAACAGAAGAAGCACCGGCUAACUCCGUGCCAGCAGCCGCGGUAAUACGGAGGGUGCGAGCGUUAAUCGGAAUUACUGGGCGUAAAGCGCACGCAGGCGGUUUGUUAAGCUAGAUGUGAAAGCCCCGGGCUCAACCUGGGAUGGUCAUUUAGAACUGGCAGACUAGAGUCUUGGAGAGGGGAGUGGAAUUCCAGGUGUAGCGGUGAAAUGCGUAGAUAU